CCGUCCGUUUCACAGGCUUAAAUAAUUAAGACCCUGCCCAUUACUUGAGAUUGAAUGAGAUUUUGUGUAGUGUUCAGUAUGGUGAUUACUGUUCACUAGGGCUUGAUGAAACAAGACCCUGCCCAUUG